CGUAAUGUAUUAACAUGUAUGAAAGAUUGUGAAGUGUGGUUUACCCCAACAGAUGAUAAUUUUAUGAGUUGUAUGAUGAGUAGUUAUGAUGAGUUGUGUGAUUUCCCUGACAUUAAUCAUAUUCUAGAUGAACGUGUAAAAAAUGAAGUGCAAAAUUUAGUAACCAAUUACCAACCUCAACAAAUCAAAGAAGCGCCUAUCCAAAUGAAAAUUAUAUUAAAAGAUGACAUCCCCAUAAGGUCAAGUCCACGUCGCAUAUCACAAACAGAGCAAGGUGAGGUAGAAAAGCAGAUAAAAGAAUGGUUAGACAGAGGAGUUAUUCAACAAAAGAUGAAAUAGAAGCUUUAAUAAGAUUAAAAGAAGUUUUAAAAGUAGCGUCACAAUAUGGAUUAAUAAUAAACUGGAAGAAAGCCAAUUUGAUAACAAAAAGUAUUACAUUCUUAGGACAUGAGAUUUGUAAUGGUAAGCGAUACUUAUGCAACGUGAUGAAAAUAAUGAACUACACCCUGUUUAUUACAUGAGUCGUAAAAAUAGUCCACAGGAAGAAAAGUAUUCAAGUUAUGAAUUAGAAGCUAUGGCAGUUGUUGAAGGGGUAAAAAAAUUUAGAUGUUAUUUAUUUGGAGUAAAAUUUAAAAUAGUAACAGAUUGCAAAGCAUUUACAAUGACAAUUAAGAAAAGAGAUUUAACACCUAAAGUAGCACGGUGGGCAAUGUUUUUACAGGAAUUUGAUUUUACAGUGGAACAUCGGUCUGGAAG